AGAGUUUGAUCCUGGCUCAGGAUGAACGCCGGCGGUGUGCCUAAUACAUGCAAGUCGAACGCGUUGGCCCAAUUGAUUGAUGGUGCUUGCACCUGAUUGAUUUUGGUCGCCAACGAGUGGCGGACGGGUGAGUAACACGUAGGUAACCUGCCCAGAAGCGGGGGACAACAUUUGGAAACAGAUGCUAAUACCGCAUAACAACGUUGUUCGCAUGAACAACGCUUAAAAGAUGGCUUCUCGCUAUCACUUCUGGAUGGACCUGCGGUGCAUUAGCUUGUUGGUGGGGUAAUGGCCUACCAAGGCGAUGAUGCAUAGCCGAGUUGAGAGACUGAUCGGCCACAAUGGGACUGAGACACGGCCCUUACUCCUACGGGAGGCAGCAGUAGGGAAUCUUCCACAAUGGGCGCAAGCCUGAUGGAGCAACACCGCGUGAGUGAAGAAGGGUUUCGGCUCGUAAAGCUCUGUUGUUAAAGAAGAACACGUAUGAGAGUAACUGUUCAUACGUUGACGGUAUUUAACCAGAAAGUCACGGCUAACUACGUGCCAGCAGCCGCGGUAAUACGUAGGUGGCAAGCGUUAUCCGGAUUUAUUGGGCGUAAAGAGAGUGCAGGCGGUUUUCUAAGUCUGAUGUGAAAGCCUUCGGCUUAACCGGAGAAGUGCAUCGGAAACUGGAUAACUUGAGUGCAGAAGAGGGUAGUGGAACUCCAUGUGUAGCGGUGGAAUGCGUAGAUAUAUGGAAGAACACCAGUGGCGAAGGCGGCUCUCUGGUCUGCAACUGACGCUGAGGCUCGAAAGCAUGGGUAGCGAACAGGAUUAGAUACCCUGGUAGUCCAUGCCGUAAACGAUGAGUGCUAAGUGUUGGGAGGUUUCCGCCUCUCAGUGCUGCAGCUAACGCAUUAAGCACUCCGCCUGGGGAGUACGACCGCAAGG
rnacentral:rRNA from 1 species